GAGGAUUUGUUCCGGAAAUGUCAAAGUCUGGAGCCUGUGUUAUUUUUUACCUCUUUCCUACAGACACUUUUUGUAUUCUAUGCCACUCACUGUGCGUUGUGUGAUGUCAUAGAUGCCUUUGAUGCUUCACUGCAUUAUUGGAUGACUUCAUCUGUGUGACCAUCACAGUGAGCACUUCCACAAGUCCAUGCUCUGCCCUGGAAUCCUGAAACAAUCAAGAGAUGUGCUAAACACAGUGGGUGUGAGGAUGCUGGUGCCAUAAUGUGGCACACUGCAUUAAACUACGUGGGGCUUUCUGAUUGUCCUACAGAGUAACCUUCCUCUCUCAUCUCCCUCACACCGGCCACAGAUUUUAAAGGUAAGUAUGGGUUAAUUUGUUUACUUUUCUUUAUAUUUUGUAAUGAUUUAGUAUUUUAUUACCAUAUUGCAAUCAUUUUGUGUGAAUAUUUUGGAGUUGUGGAACAAAUUAUUUGAAUUUCCAUUAUUUCUCAUAGGGAAAUUUGCUUUGAUAUGCAAGUAUUUUUGAUUACAAGCAUGCUUCUGGAAUGAAUUAUACUCACAAUGAAGAUUUACUAUUUAUAGAAAUGUCAUCUACUUCAAAAUUUAUUUUUCUUAAGUGGAAGAGAAAUGAUUCAGUAAUACAAUCAGUGAAGGAGAUGACUGCAGAAAGUAACCCAAUUUUGCCACCAAAGGAAUUUGCCACCAAACUUCUUUGGUUUGGGGAUUCUACUCCGGUGAAAAAUGGAUCUCAGUGA
rnacentral:lncRNA from 1 species